AUUGAACGCUGGCGGCAGGCUUAACACAUGCAAGUCGAGCGGGGGAAGGUAGCUUGCUACCGGACCUAGCGGCGGACGGGUGAGUAAUGCUUAGGAAUCUGCCUAUUAGUGGGGGUCAACAUCUCGAAAGGGAUGCUAAUACCGCAUACGUCCUACGGGAGAAAGCAGGGGAUCUUCGGACCUUGCGCUAAUAGAUGAGCCUAAGUCGGAUUAGCUAGUUGGUGGGGUAAAGGCCUACCAAGGCGACGAUCUGUAGCGGGUCUGAGAGGAUGAUCGGCCACUCUGGGACUGAGACACGGCCCAGACUCCUACGGGGGGCAGCAGUGGGGAAUAUUGGACAAUGGGGGGAACCCUGAUCCAGCCAUGCCGCGUGUGUGAAGAAGGCCUUAUGGUUGUAAAGCACUUUAAGCGAGGAGGAGGCUACUUUAGUUAAUACCUGGAGAUAGUGGACGUUACUCGCAGAAUAAGCACCGGCUAACUCUGUGCCAGCCGCCGCCGUAA
rnacentral:rRNA from 1 species